AAUAAACGCUGGCGGCGUGCUUAACACAUGCAAGUCGAGCGAGAAAGUUCCUUCGGGAGCGAGUACAGCGGCGGACGGGUGAGUAACGCGUGGGAAUCUGCCCUUCAGUGAAGAAUACCUUCGAGAAAUCGGAGCUAAUGCUGCAUACGUCCCUUCGGGGAGAAAGAUGGCCUCUUGCUGUCGCUGAUGGAUGAGCCUGCGUGCUAUUAGCUAGUUGGUGGGGUAAUGGCCUACCAAGGCAAUGAUGGCUAGCCGGCCUGAGAGGGUGUACGGCCACACUGGAACUUAGACACGGUCCAGACUCCUACGGGAGGCAGCAGUGGGGAAUAUUGCGCAAUGGGCGAAAGCCUGACGCAGCGACGCCGCGUGGAGGAUGAAGGUCUUAGGAUUGUAAACUUCUGUUAAGUGGGAAGAAAGACUUGUUCGUAAUAUGAACGAGGGAUGACGGUACCAUUAGAGAAAGCACCGGCUAACUUCGUGCCAGC
rnacentral:rRNA from 1 species